ACGCUCGACACCUACGGAGGCAGCAGUCGGGAAUAUUGCGCAAUGGAGGAAACUCUGACGCAGUGACGCCGCGUAUGGGAAGAAGGUUUUCGGAUUGUAAACCAUUUUAGACAAGGAAGAAACAAGACAGUACUUGUAGAAUAAGCUCCGGCUAACUACGUGCCAACAGCCGCGGUAAUCUGAGCGGGCUGGCAAGGC
rnacentral:rRNA from 1 species